AUUGAACGCUGGCGGCAGGCCUAACACAUGCAAGUCGAACGGUAACAGGAAACAGCUUGCUGUUUCGCUGACGAGUGGCGGACGGGUGAGUAAUGUCUGGGAAACUGCCUGAUGGAGGGGGAUAACUACUGGAAACGGUAGCUAAUACCGCAUAACGUCGCAAGACCAAAGAGGGGGACCUUCGGGCCUCUUGCCAUCGGAUGUGCCCAGAUGGGAUUAGCUAGUAGGUGGGGUAACGGCUCACCUAGGCGACGAUCCCUAGCUGGACUGAGAGGAUGACCAGCCACACUGGAACUGAGACACGGUCCAGACUCCUACGGGAGGCAGCAGUGGGGAAUAUUGCACAAUGGGCGCAAGCCUGAUGCAGCCAUGCCGCGUGUAUGAAGAAGGCCUUCGGGUUGUAAAGUACUUUCAGCGGGGAGGAAGGGAGUAAAGUUAAUACCUUUACUCAUUGACGUUACCCGCAGAAGAAGCACCGGCUAACUCCGUG
rnacentral:rRNA from 1 species